AGCGAACGCUGGCGGCAGGCCUAACACAUGCAAGUCGAACGGAUCCUUCGGGAUUAGUGGCGGACGGGUGAGGAACACGUGGGAACGUGCCUUUUGGUUCGGAACAACUCAGGGAAACUUGAGCUAAUACCGGAUAAGCCCUUCGGGGGAAAGAUUUAUCGCCAUUAGAGCGGCCCGCGUCUGAUUAGCUAGUUGGUGAGGUAAAGGCUCACCAAGGCGACGAUCAGUAGCUGGUCUGAGAGGAUGAUCAGCCACACUGGGACUGAGACACGGCCCAGACUCCUACGGGAGGCAGCAGUGGGGAAUCUUGCGCAAUGGGCGAAAGCCUGACGCAGCCAUGCCGCGUGAAUGAUGAAGGUCUUAGGAUUGUAAAAUUCUUUCACCGGGGACGAUAAUGACGGUACCCGGAGAAGAAGCCCGGCUAACUUCGUG
rnacentral:rRNA from 1 species